UACAACUUUCAACAACGGAUCUCUUGGCUCUCGCAUCGAUGAAGAACGCAGCGAAAUGCGAUAAGUAAUGUGAAUUGCAGAAUUCAGUGAAUCAUCGAAUCUUUGAACGCACCUUGCACCCUUUGGCUAUUCCGAAGGGCAUGCCUGUUUGAGUAUCAUGAGCACCUCAACUCUCGUGGCUUUGCCCAUGAUGAGCUUGGACUUUGGGGGUCUUUGCUGGCUUACGGUCGGCCCCUCUCAAACGAAUCAGCUUGCCAGUGUUUGGCGGCAUCACAGGUGUGAUAACUAUCUGCGCUUGUGGUUUCCCGCUAGAUAACCUUCAGCGAUGGAGGUUCGCUGGAGCUCAUAAAUGUCUCUCCUCAGCGAGGACAGCACUUUGACUGUUUGAUCUCAAAUCAGGUAGGACUACCCGCUGAA
rnacentral:rRNA from 1 species